rnacentral:ncRNA from 1 species
UGAAGGGUGCGCAACUGGCGAUAGGAGCGCUGCACUGAAGACACCCUUCUGGCAGCACACUCUGACGUGGACCGCGGUGACUCUUGAAUGAAGACCCACCCCAAACCACUGGGAAGCGCGCAACCCGGAACCGGCCCUAGACAGGGCCCAGACCAGGGUUUUCAGCCGUUCGCCUGGGCAGCCCUU